AGAUAAUUAGGGAUCACUGCAGGGAUUAUAGUAUUAGUAGUGCAGAUAGCAGGAAGCCAGCCCAUGUAUUAUUUGGUUGAACUAAAUAUUGUCAGCAGCAAUAUUUCAUGUCCAUCAUCAUUUAGAAAUGCUCAUGAAAGGGCUAGAUUAGAUUUCUUGUAAGAUUUCAUAUUGUGUUUGAUAUUGCCACUAGGAGAGGCAAUGUCUGUGUUUUGGCCACCAAGGUAACGUUACACCUACUGGCGGUUCCAUAUCUUAGGCAAUUUUGAAGCCUUGCUCCUGUGCCCUGUAAAAUUUUGUGCAGGUGUUGCCUGUGCCUGAGUUGUAUAAAUUUUGUAAAAUUAUUUUCAGUUUGGUUUGUUGAAUUUCCCCAGCCGAAGAUAGCAUUAGAUUGGAU
rnacentral:misc_RNA from 1 species